UAGUACGGCGAGUGAGCGGGAAGAGCUCAAAUUUGAAAUCUGGUGGCCUCAGGUCAUCCGAGUUGUAAUCUAUAGAAGUGUUUUCCGUGCUGGCUCAUGUACAAGUCCCUUGGAACAGGGCGUCAUAGAGGGUGAGAAUCCCGUCCUUGACAUGAACUACCAGUGCUCUGUGAUACAUUUUCAACGAGUCGAGUUGUUUGGGAAUGCAGCUCAAAAUGGGUGGUAAAUUCCAUCUAAAGCUAAAUAUUGGCGAGAGACCGAUAGCGAACAAGUACCGUGAGGGAAAGAUGAAAAGCACUUUGGAAAGAGAGUUAAACAGUAUGUGAAAUUGUUGAAAGGGAAACGAUUGAAGUCAGUCGUGCUCUUUGGAUUCAGCCGGUUCUGCCGGUGUACUUCCUUUGAGUGGGGUCAACAUCAGUUUUGAUCGCUGGAUAAAGGCUGGAGGAACGUAGUACCCUCGGGUAAACUUAUAGCCUCCUGUCACAUACAGUGGUUGGGACUGAGGAACGCAGCACGCCUUUAUGGCCGGGAUUCGUCCACGUACGUGCUUAGGAUGUUGACAUAAUGGCUUUAAACGACCCGUCUUGAA
rnacentral:rRNA from 1 species